AUGUCUGGUAGAAUGUAUACCUGGGCAAAUAACCAGGCAGAUCUGAUUAUGUCCAGGAUUGAUAGAAUUUUUUGUACUACUGAAUUUGAAGCUUCUUUUCCUUUAGCUAGUGCUACGGUACUCCCUAGAAUUGGAAGUGACCAUACUCCUAUCAUAUGGGAAUCGGGCUGUGGAGAACCAGUGAAGAAAGCGAGCUUUAAAUUUGAGAAAUGGUGGCUAGCUAGACCUGAUUUUAGAGAUAUUGUGAUUAAGGCCUGGAAUACUAAGGGUUUUAGCUCAAACCCUGUAGAUGUCUGGCAAAGUAAAGUGAGAGCUUUUAGAAGACUUGCUAGAGGCUGGAGUGCCAACCUAGAGGCUUACCUUAGAAACCAUAAGAAAGCUCUCAUGGCAGAAUAUGAUAGGAUAGAUGUACAGACAGAAACUAAUGGUCUGAAUGAUAUAGAUAGAGGUAGAAUGAAGGAGAUUCUCCAUGAACUUGGGGAAAUUUGGUGUAAAGAAGAAACUAGUGCUAGACAGAGGUCUAGAGAUAGAGAUAUCUUAGAGGGAGAUAGGAACACAGCAUAUUUU
rnacentral:rRNA from 1 species